rnacentral:rRNA from 1 species
GACGAACGCUGGCGGCGUGCUUAACACAUGCAAGUCGAGCGGUAAGGCCCUUUCGGGGGUCACGAGCGGCGAACGGGUGAGUAACACGUGGGUGACCUGCCCUCAGCUCUGGGAGUAAGCCCGGGAAACGUGGGUCGUAAUACCGGAUAUGACUCCAUGACGCAUGUUGUGGGGUGGGAAAGCCUUGUGCGGCUGAGGAUGGGCCCGCGGCCUAUCAGCUUGUUGGUGGGGUGAU